UACAGAGGGUGCGAGCGUUAAUCGGAAUUACUGGGCGUAAAGCGUGCGUAGACGGUUAUUUAAGUCGGGUGUGAAAGCCCCGGGCUCAACCUGGGAAUUGCAUUCGAGACUGAAUAGCUAGGGUACGGUAGAGGGAAGUGGAAUUUCCGGUGUAGCGGUGAAAUGCGUAGAGAUCGGGAAGAACAUCGGUGGCGAAAGCGCUCUACUGGACGGUAUCUGACACUGAGGGACGAAAGCUAGGGGAGCGAAUGGG
rnacentral:rRNA from 1 species